GUGCCUCUAGCUCAAUCGGUUAGAGCGCCGGUCUGUGGAACCGGAGGUUACGGGUUCGAUCCCCGUGAGGCACCCCA
rnacentral:tRNA from 1 species